UGGGUUGCUCGGGGCGCGGUACCGGUCCACCUGGGUGUAUUCCGGGGCCGGCAGGGCGCGUUUGUCGAGCUUGCCGUUCGGGGUCAACGGCAGCGCGUC
rnacentral:tRNA from 1 species